rnacentral:rRNA from 1 species
AACGAACGCUGACGGCGUGCCUAACACAUGCAAGUCGAACGUGAAAAGGGGCAACCCUUAGUAAAGUGGCGUACGGGUGAGAAACGCGUGGGUAAUCUACCUUAGAGUCUGGAAUAACCUUCCGAAAGGAGGGCUAAUACUAGAUAGAGCGAGGGGUUCGUGAAGGACCUUUCGGGAAAGGGAGCCUGGAGAAGGCAUUUGCUCUAAGAUGAGCCUGGGUCCCAUUAGCUAGUUGGUGAGGUAAUAGCUUACCAAGGCGACGAUGGGUAGCUGGUCUGAGAGGAUGAUCAGCCACACUGGAACUGAAACACGGUCCAGACUCCUACGGGAGGCAGCAGUGGGGAAUAUUGCGCAAUGGACGAAAGUCUGACGCAGCAACGCCGUGUGAGUGAAGAAGGCCUUCGGGUUGUAAAGCUCUGUCGGUUGGGACGAAAGGUUUGGUAGUUAACAGCUAUCAGAUUUGACGGUACCUUCGGAGGAAGCACCGGCUAACUCUGUGCCAGCAGCCGCAGUAA